AUAUCCAUGUAUUUUUGUGGGUAACAAACCUCACUAGAAUCCAUGAGAACGUGGGUUCGAUCCUUGGCCUCAUUCGGAGGGUUGAGGAACCGGUGUUGCUGUGAGCUGUGGUAUAGGUCGUCGAUGAGACUCUGAUCUGGCAUUGCUGUGGCUGUGGCGUGGGUGGGGGCUGCAGCUCCAAUCUGACCCCUACCCUGGGAACUUCCAUAUGCAGCCCUAAAAAGAAAGAAAAAAAAAAAUACUACAGUAUUGUCUGACCAUUGAAGAAGAAUGAAUGUUAGGGAGAGUUUUGUGUCAGAUCCUAAGAAUUGGGCAGUGUGUUUCCACAGGCUUCUUUUGGGACAGCUGCAAAGUCCUUGGUAUUUUUAUUCUGAUGGAAUCAACCUUAAUUUUGUUUUUCAUUCUGGUCGGAGUCAAGAAUAAGUGGGUAUAAAUAUAUUAUGAUUGAUUUGUAUAAUUUAUUGAGAACGGAGGUAGUGAUACAUCAAACAGAACUAAAUAUAUAUCAGCAUGAAGGUUGGAAGAAACUUUUGAGCACCUUCUGCGUUCUGGGCACUGUUUUGUUUUGAAUUGCCAGUAACUUAAAGGUCUCAUUUGUCUUCCUAGGCAGGACAUACCUGUCCUGUUUCCUUCUCAAAUAGCAUAGAAGUUCAGCAUGGACUUUGCUCUGUCUACUGAUGUGUAUUUUGUUUCAGGGUUUGGAACAUAAUAGUUGCUAAAUAAAUAUUGGUCAAGUGAGCAGAUGUUAUCUAAGUCCUCAUGAAAACCCUGUGAGAUAGGUUGUAAUACAAAGUUUUAAAAGUUCAGAGAGACUUCACCAAAUUAUUUGAUGUUUUGUGGCGACUAAGCGAUACAGCCGUGCCACUGUUUUAAAGUUAGGAAUUUUGUCCUCUUACUCCACCUCAUUGCAGUGUUUGAUGCUUUUUAAUCUUUAUAUAUAAAAUAUUUUUUAAAAAGACUAGUGUAUUUAUCUAGUUUAAUUGUUCCAUUAAAGAACAUAUGCCUUUUGAGGAAGUGCUUUCAUUUUAAUUAAGAGCUAUAUUUCAAU
rnacentral:lncRNA from 1 species